UACGGAGGGGACUAGCGUUGUUCGGAAUUACUGGGCGUAAAGCGCACGUAGGCGGAUUGUUAAGUCAGGGGUGAAAUCCCGAGGCUCAACCUCGGAACUGCCUUUGAUACUGGCAAUCUCGAGUCCGGAAGAGGUGAGUGGAAUUCCUAGUGUAGAGGUGAAAUUCGUAGAUAUUAGGAAGAACACCAGUGGCGAAGGCGGCUCACUGGUCCGGUACUGGACGCUGAGGUGCGAAAGCGUGGGGAGCAAACAGG
rnacentral:rRNA from 1 species